rnacentral:rRNA from 1 species
GACGAACGCUGGCGGCGUGCUUAACACAUGCAAGUCGAACGCUGAAGCUCAGCUUUUGUUGGGUGGAUGAGUGGCGAACGGGUGAGUAACACGUGAGUAACCUGCCCCCUUCUUUGGGAUAACGCCCGGAAACGGGUGCUAAUACUGGAUAUUCACUGGUCUUCGCAUGGGGGCUGGUGGAAAGGGGUUUUCUGGUGGGGGAUGGGCUCGCGGCCUAUCAGCUUGUUGGGGGGGUAAUGGCCUACCCAGGCUUUGACGGGUAGACGGGCUGAGAGGGUAAACGGGAACAGUGAGACGGACAUGCGGCCCAGAGUAGGACGCGAGGCAGAAGUGGGGACAAUUGCAGAAUGGGUGCCAGCCUGAUGCAGCGACGGCGCGUGAGGGAUUGAGGCCUUAGGGUUGUGAACCUCUUUAGCACAUGGUCAAGCCGCAACAAUGGUUGUGGUGAGGGUAGUGGGUAAAGAAGCGCCGGCUAACUACGUG